AGCGAACGCUGGCGGCAGGCCUAACACAUGCAAGUCGAACGAAGUCUUCGGACUUAGUGGCGGACGGGUGAGUAACACGUGGGAACGUGCCUUUAGGUUCGGAAUAACUCAGGGAAACUUGUGCUAAUACCGAAUGUGCCCUUCGGGGGAAAGAUUUAUCGCCUUUAGAGCGGCCCGCGUCUGAUUAGCUAGUUGGUGAGACAAAGGCUCACCAAGGCGACGAUCAGUAGCUGGUCUGAGAGGAUGAUCAGCCACAUUGGGACUGAGACACGGCCCAAACUCCUACGGGAGGCAGCAGUGGGGAAUCUUGCGCAAUGGGCGAAAGCCUGACGCAGCCAUGCCGCGUGAAUGAUGAAGGUCUUAGGAUUGUAAAAUUCUUUCACCGGGGACGAUAAUGACGGUACCCGGAGAAGAAGCCCCGGCUAACUUCGUGCCAGCCGCCGCAGUAACAC
rnacentral:rRNA from 1 species